rnacentral:lncRNA from 1 species
GCACUUCAAAUAACCAACCAACUUAUGAAGUUGUUUAUUCUCUUCCUAAGCAGGAAACAAACAGAUGACAGAUCAACAGUCAAAGGUCAUAAGACAUGUCUACAAUCUCAGGAGGAUGCAUAGUUCUAAGUAGCUCGAACACAUUAAUCUAUUUGACUUGGCUUAAGUAAAUUACAUCCUUUUGAGGAGAAGAAAUCGUAUAUAUACACAAAUUUAUUACUUAAUCCAUUGUAUUUGUGUCAACUUAAAUUAAAUACCUGCUUAAACAACAUCAAGGAUAAUCAGAAAAGCAACACCCAAGGAUAAUCAGUCAUACCUGCUUAAACAUGUAUGGGUUAGAAAUGCAGCUAAACCUCGACCGCCAUUCACUCAGUCCAAUGUUAAAGGGUUUAAUGUCAGGCAAGCUCCAAUGGCGAAGAUCAGCAUCC